rnacentral:rRNA from 1 species
GACGAACGCUGGCGGCGUGCUUAACACAUGCAAGUCGAACGGAAAGGCCCUGCUUUUGUGGGGUGCUCGAGUGGCGAACGGGUGAGUAACACGUGAGUAACCUGCCCUUGACUUUGGGAUAACUUCAGGAAACUGGGUCUAAUACCGGAUAGGAGCUCCUGCUGCAUGGUGGGGGUUGGAAAGUUUCGGCGGUUGGUGAUGGACUCGCGGCUUAUCAGCUUGUUGGUGGGGUAGUGGCUUACCAAGGCUUUGACGGGUAGCCGGCCUGAGAGGGUGACCGGCCACAUUGGGACUGAGAUACGGCCCAGACUCCUACGGGAGGCAGCAGUGGGGAAUAUUGCACAAUGGGCGGAAGCCUGAUGCAGCAACGCCGCGUGCGGGAUGACGGCCUUCGGGUUGUAAACCGCUUUCGCCUGUGACGAAGCGUGAGUGACGGUAAUGGGUAAAGAAGCACCGGCUAACUACGUG